GACGGAGGAUGCAAGUGUUAUCCGGAAUCACUGGGCGUAAAGCGUCUGUAGGUGGUUCAAUAAGUCAACUGUUAAAUCUUGAGGCUCAACUUCAAAAUCGCAGUCGAAAACUAUUGGACUCGAGUAUAGUAGGGGUAAAGGGAAUUUCCAGUGGAGCGGUGAAAUGCGUAGAGAUUGGAAAAGAACACCAAUGGCGAAGCACUUUACUGGGCUAUACUGACACUGA
rnacentral:rRNA from 1 species